CGCUCAGCUGUUGUGGGGCGGGGCUGCUGCUGACCAUGGCUGGCGAGCUUGAGAACUCCAAAGCUCUGAGUGGGUUGCUGAACGGCCUGGCCCAGGAAGCUUUCUAUGGGCACCAAGGCAUCACGGAAGAGCUGCUGCGGAGCCAGCUCUAUCCCGAGGUGUCACUCGAGGAGUUCCGCCCCUUUCUGGCGAAGAUGAGGGGGAUUCUUAAGUCUAUUGCAUCUGCAGACAUGGAUUUCAACCAGCUGGAGGCAUUCUUGACUGCUCAAACCAAAAAACAAGGUGGGAUCUCAUCUGACCAAGCCGCUGUCAUUUCCAAAUUCUGGAAGAGCCACAAGAUAAAAAUUCGAGAGAGUCUCAUGAACCAGAGCCGUUGGGACAGUGGGCUUCGGGGCCUGAGUUGGAGAGUUGACGGCAAAUCACAGUCAAGGCAUUCAGCUCAGAUACAUACCCCUGUUGCCAUAAUGGAGCUGGAAAUAGGGAAAAGUGGACAGGAGAUUGUGGGAAUAUGGAUAAGCACUUCCUUUAGAAGCUGCCCUGGCAUGGAAAGCACCUGGAAUCUGAAUUUCUAUGUUUGGAAUUUGAUGAAGUCAAGGUCAAUCAACUCCUAAAGAAGCUCUCAGAGGUAGAAGAAAGUAUCAGCACACUGAUGCAGCCAGCCUAGCUGAAGAUGGAGUUGUUGAAGCAAAGGCAUUUAUGGCUCUGUAUAUUUUUUGCAACUCCAUGUGAAUCAAGUAUUACUUCAAAAUAAAAAUUUUAAGAAAAAGUAUGUACUUCUGCUCUGCCAAGGGAGCUGUGUGGGCGAUGACUUGGCCAUUGUAUCUAUCCUCAAGGAGGUUAGUCUAGUGGAGCAAACUAUCAACAGAAUGAUCUGGAAGGUGGGGAGAUGCUGCUUGCUGCAGAGAUGAGAGAAGACACUGAAGAAUAUCCAGGAAAACCCUCACAAAGGUACAAUUGAGGGCUUGUAUGUAAAUGAAGAGCUAUGCUUCUACCACGGGAAUUCCAUUCUUAGGCCAAUCCCUGACAAGGUUGUCACUUCUGUCUUCUCAGAUCUUCAGGGACCACAGCUGAAGCCAUUUGGGACAGGGAUGGAUGCACACCCUGAUUAAGGCUAAUAUUCCUAGCUGACAGCUUUUCUCUGCAGCUCAGAAUUCUUAGAGAUACCCUAUCUCCUACCAAGUCAUUCAAAAUGUUCAAAAUGUAGCUACUGACUUCCUUUAUAAAAGAUAGGAAGAAUGGUGUUAAAACAGGAAGGGAAGCCUAGAACAUUUGUUGGGGUUACUAAUAAUGAAAACAUUUAAAAGAGUUCCCAUAUACCUUUAACAAACCUCCUCAACUCUACUGAACAUUAACACUUUGCUUUGGGGUUCUAACACUCGUUUAAUGUUUAUUUUAAAUCUUUUUAAUUGGACAACACAUUCUUUUAGUUUAUAAAGAGAAAUAGUACAAAGAGGUACACAGAUGGAAAAUCUUGUUCUUGCAUCUACCCUUUCUUUAUUUCUUUCCUUUUCUUUUUUCUAUUUUUGAAGAUCUAAUUGACUUUAUUAAGUGAAUCAUGAAUUGGGCAGCAUCCCAUCUAGCCAGUAGACGGAGCCCACCUCCUCUGCCCUUUCCAGCCCACAAACACUUACAGGGGACCAUCUGUGUUUUUCUUUAUGCAAACAUAAAUAAAAUAUUUUCAUACCUCUACUUUUCUCCUUCUUCCUGCCCCCCCAAAACCAGCAUCCUAUGCAUACUCUUCUGGACUUUGCAUUUAUCAAUUAACAAUGUAGCUUAGAAAGAUUUCCAAAUCAGAACAUAGUAAUGCUUUAAAAAAAAAAGAAGAAGAAGAACUUCAGCCCCCUGCCCUCCAGUGUCACCUCAGACAUUGCUCAUGUUCCCUCUCUUUCCUGUCUAACCUCAAUUGUUUGAAUCCCAAAUUCCCCAAGCAUAGUAUGUUCUCUGUGCUAACAAGCUCAGGGCUUACAUAGACCCCAGGCUGUGUGACUGGAGCAAAGCCACAAACCCCCUGUGCCAUCAAGACCACAGGGACACAUUCAGGAGCAACAGCAACAAGGUGAUGAUUGCCUUAGCAUGAGCGACACCCCAAAGAGAUCACUCUGGGCCAAGGAGGAGAGAUGAUCUGGAGCCAGGCUUUGUUGCCAAGCAACCCCGGAGGGGAUGAAAUUAACUCAGUCUGUUUUUCAUGUAACUGCAUCUCAAAUGAAAGCUGAGGCCAGAGUUGAUCCCAUGCAAAAUUAAUAAUCACCACAUGAUUCUUUCUUUCAAGUGUCUGUUGCCGAAAGACAGGGAACUAAAGAAACCAGUAUACCCCUCUUUAAAGGGGUAAGGGGGGGAGGAAGAGAACAAAUACAUACAGAUCCCAUGUUUUUCCAUUUGAGUCUUAGGUAGGAAAUCAAGCCUUUCUCUCUUAGACUGCUGUUGACUCUCCCUGGUAGGAAACCUGCUUUAAAACCAGAUCCUAAGUAGACGAGAUAAUACAUACCAAAGAGCCAAGGGAGGAUAUUUUUCCUAGAAGUGAGAGAAAGCUUGGAUCACAUGAGACCCUUUUAGUCUCCUUUUUUAGAAAAUUUAAAAUGCACUUUUCCCCAUUAGUAUGUUCAGGGAAGAUAAAUUAUCAUAAAAAUAAAAAUAGCCCUUCCACCUACUCUCCUUAAUCCAGCACUAAUGGCUGAAAGAGGAGCCCAGCUUGAUAUGCUCACUAACUCUUUCUCUUCAAGGGCUUAUCAAAUUUAAAAGGCAAAAAUGACAAAGAAGAGUGGAUUCCCCCAUCCGCUGCCCCCUACUUCUGCUGCAUUAAUUUGGGUAAAUUACCUGUGUGGUCAGGGAGGAGCAGUGGCCUUCUCCCCAAAAGAAUCUUUGAUUAUUAUUUUGUAGUUGUGCCAUAAAAUGUAACUAAAAAUAAAGCUUUUUUUAGCCAAAGAAACUAGUUUUAUCUGAGAAGGAAAGCUUUCUUGCCCAGCAGAAGGUGAGACUUUGUGGUGGGCAAAGUAGCGACCAGUGGUCUUCCUCACUUAGCACUUAUGGGAUGUAUUUGCUGGUGUUGGGACAGGAUAUUCCCUUGUUCCCUUCUGCCACUCCACCAUGUUCACCGUAUACUAGGCCAGUUUGAGCAAGCCUCCUCCUCUGUGAAGCAAUGAGUACCCACGGACAGAGUGGGGCAGAAUGUGCUGGUACACAGAGAAAAACAGAGAGCGAAAUGUACACAAUGGAUUUUUGGAAACUCUGUCAGUGAGGGUCUCAGCAGGAAACAGAUGCUAUAUUCACAUUGGAUGCUUUGAGUAGCUUUUAAUAAAGGGGUUUUUUAGAAUGGUUGGUGGGGAAACCACAAAGGACAGGUAUUACCUGGGGCUGAUCACUCUGGGUUGGGAGUCACUCCCAUGCCUCAGCCUGCAGAGUGAGAGAAUUGGCAGGCAGAGGGAUGGGAUAGAGCAGGCCACCUUACACAGUGUAGCUGUCAAUCGGGGGAAGGAGAGCCCUACAUCAUUUGCCUCCUUCCCUCUGAUUUCUGGCAAGGGCUCACCAUAUGCUGAAACCCACUGGAAGUCAGAGGAUCAAGAAAUCCUUGAAUGUAGAAAUGUAACACACAGAAAACAGGAAAUGCUAAACCUAGCUUCAUCUGCCUGGCUUCUGGUCUAUUCAUUCAUUCAACCAGCACUUACCGAUCACCAGCUCUGUGCAGGCACCCAACUAGGAGACGCAACAGUAAGCAAGGCAGCCCUCAUGGAGCAGACAGUCCCUCUGGCCACGUCAGGCCUAGGCAAAGCUGCAAAGUACAUCCAGACUGAACAUUCAAGAUCACAAGCCCUCCAACGUGUACCAUGGUUAUUGCCUGACUUUUCUUAUCCCGCUUCCCUCUUGGUCAGGAAUAAAGAUUUUCUUGUUCUAUGUGUUAAUUCCAAUUUCAAUAAAUCAAGAGGGGCACCUGGCUGGCUCUGUUGGUGGAGCAUGCAACUCUUGAUCUCAGGGUUGUAAGUUCGAAUCCCAUGGGGUGUAGAGAUUACUAAAAAAUAAAAUCAUAAAUAAAUAAAUAAAAUGUCAAACAAGCAAAAAAAGAAAAGAAAAAAGAUUCUCUUGUUACCAUAACUACUGGUAGCAUGUCUGAGUAGGUUCGUGUUAAGGCAUGGGUGUUAGAAGGGCACUUACAGAGGAAUCCAGAAGAAGGAAGAUAGCUGGGCCCGAAGCAAGACAGGAACAGAGGUAAAGUCAGGUCACAGGAGUUUCUCUGUAGGGCAUGGCCUUCAAGCAUCCAGCUCCUACCCAUGUCUGCCCUCUGUCUCCUCCAUGUGCACCCAGAUCCUAGCUCUUCUUCCUGUAGGUUUGGCUCAGCCCAUCUUUCUAUGCUGGCCCACUGAGGCACUGCCUAGCCUAUGCAGGUGGCCCUUGGCCUAACCCCCUGUCUCCAGCCCAAUAGUGGCCAUUCCUGGGUUAGAACAGCUUGGUGUUAUCUCUGAGCAGAGCGCUCGGGGCGGGGGGGGGGCGGCGGAAUCUCCCCUCUUUAGGAGACCCUGGCUAUUGGCAGAGCCCCUGGCUGACAUUCCCAGGGCCCCCACUACUAGAUGGUAAACUCUUAAAGGUCAAGGAUCUGAGUCUUACAUUGGUUUUCCAGUAGCACAUGGCAUUGUUUCUUUUAAGUCAGUCACUCAGUCACUAUUUACAGAGUAGACUGGGCAUAAUAACCCCUAAGUUGCAACUAGCUACCUCAACUACAUCUGUUCUUGGGAAUCUUAAAGCACAAAGCCAUUUGACAUUUGUUGAGAAGGACUUUGUUGAUCCAUAGGCAGCAAAGCCAACCUGUGCUGGGCUGAUGAAUAGACACACUGGCAAAGUGUGCAUCCUGUUGGGGACAAUGGCUCCCUUUUUCCUGAAAUGCCUCCCAGCUGUGUGUGGCCAAGCCAGGGCUAGGCUCAGUUCCUUGUACUAAGAAAUCUCUUAGUGUAGCCUGAGAGCAAGUGAGGGCACUGCCUUCCUGCUGUGGUAACUCUCUUAUUCCAUUUCAGUGAUAUGAGCUUACUGACCUUGUACAGAGAGACUGACGCCAUCACCUCUUCCCAGAACAAAGCUAGCCCUUCUGAUGGCGAGCAUCGUACUCCAUGCUGUGUAUCAGAGAGUUUUCCUUCCUGAUUGAUUUGAGGGAUAGGAUUCCUUUGGCUGAUAAUUGGCAGUAUGAGCUAGAGUCAGAUUGCUAGUAGAAAUGUUUAUGAGGGGCGCUUGGGUGGCUCAGUUGUUUAAGCAUCUUCCUUAGGCUCAGGUCAUGAUCCCAGG